UAAAAGGCUUGAAGUCUCGUGAUUGUGAGUGUCAUCUCAGGUAAUCCACGGUACAUGAUAUUCAUGAUCAUGUAGAACAGAACACCCAUAAAUUUGUUUGCAUCUUGGACGGUCUCAUGAUGCAUUGUUGUUCGCAGGAAUAUGGUCGAGACAAUCACCGCUAUAAUCGAGCCCUUUAAAAAAUAAUGGUGUUGGUUUCCUUUUUAUUAAAAAGGUGAGACUCACCUGAAUUACGUUGCUAGUCACAUGAACGUAGAGAUUACGUUUUAUCAGUAUGAUUUCUCUUGAGCAGCAGGCCAGAAACAGCUUCCAGGAACUCAUCUUUGGUUCCUUUUUCCCUGCAGGAUAAACUUUCUUCAAGUCCUUGAGCGUGAAUUCAUCAGCCCGGUAUCGUUGAAAAGCAGCAGCAAAAUCUUUUCCCGAUACAAACCGGUAAGCUUCUUUAUCACCGCACCAAUAACCUUUUUGAUCUUUUCUUGACACUACCUGCAUUUCCCAAGACUUUAGAGGAACAUGAAUGUGUUGUAUACGACUGACCUCUUGUAAAUAAUCUGCUACUCCUUUUCUUGCAGGACAUUUGAAGCCUUGGGCCUCAAGAAAUUGUAGAACACCUUCUCGAGUUCCAUGGUAUACUAUAUGUCCUUCCGCAAGGAGUAUAAGAUCGUCAAACAGCUCGAAAACCUCUGGGGGUGGUUGCAGCAGCGAGAUCAGCAUCGUUUUGCUCAAAGCUUUCACGGUUUGC
rnacentral:lncRNA from 1 species